rnacentral:rRNA from 1 species
AACGAACGCUGGCGGCAUGCCUAACACAUGCAAGUCGAACGAGAUCUUCGGGUCUAGUGGCACACGGGUGCGUAACGCGUGGGAAUCUGCCCUUUGGUUCGGAAUAACAGUUGGAAACGACUGCUAAUACCGGAUGAUGACGAAAGUCCAAAGAUUUAUCGCCAGAGGAUGAGCCCGCGUAGGAUUAGCUAGUUGGUGUGGUAAAGGCGCACCAAGGCGACGAUCCUUAGCUGGUCCGAGAGGAUGAUCAGCCACACUGGGACUGAGACACGGCCCAGACUCCUACGGGAGGCAGCAGUGGGGAAUAUUGGACAAUGGGCGAAAGCCUGAUCCAGCAAUGCCGCGUGAGUGAUGAAGGCCUUAGGGUUGUAAAGCUCUUUUACCCGGGAUGAUAAUGACAGUACCGGGAGAAUAAGCUCCGGCUAACUCCGUGCCAGCCGCCGCGGUAA